UGCUCGAGGAUUUCCAGGGGGACUCCUGAGGCUCGAUCCCGCCUUUGCGUAUGUCGAGCCUCCUUCCUCAUGACCUUUGCCACGGGUGGAGUGCCUCACGCCGGCCCCCAGCAGGUGGGGAUCACACAGAUGAAUAUAAGCAGGAAGCAGAGAUGAGGGUGCCCUGAGCAGAUUCCCAGAGGUAAGGAUCUCAGUUAUUGUGAGUAUUACAGGAUGCAGAGGAUUUGCAGAAGGCGAUGAAAGAAAACACAUGAAGGUGCUGUGGUGACUCCUACUCCUCUGGUCAUGAUGCAACUUGAAAUGUGGCUCAAAGGAAAGAAGAAACACCGCCUUUGGCACUUGGUGUCUGAAAAUUUCUACAGAGAAUUUCAAAAUUUAUACGCCAUCAUUUUGAGGGAACUGCAGAAAUGGAGGAAUUUCUAAAAAACCUCACCAGAGAAAGAAUGAGAUGUAGAAACUUGCCAAAUCCAGUGAGCGUGAAGCAAACAUUCAACAAUACCCAUAAGGACUCUUCUCACUCUCUCCUCCAUGUCUUCUCAAAAUACUAGGAAGAUGCUGAUGCCAAAAUUAGCAGGCUAAGGUAAGAAUUGGUGAGAAACCCAUUUUGAUUGUUACAUAGAAUUAGAAAAUCCAGUUUAAAAUAGAAUCAUGAUUGGAGUUUUUGUUGUGAGGAUGGGACUUAAGGUAGAUCCAAGAAUCAUGAGAAUUCCUAAGUUUUUAUUCCAGAUAAGUGAGAGGAGAAGAAAUUAUGCAAGUUCACUUUAACCAGAUUGUGUCUUAUAAAGUUAACAUUUCCUUUUGUUUCAACGGAUAGGAGAGGAAAUUAUAGAAAAGUAAUAGGAUCUAAACUUAAGUAAAAUUAUUAGGCUUUUUUUUUUCUUUUCUUUUUUUCUAUUUUUAGGAGUUUCUCUUUGUGUCAGGCAAAUUACCUAGACAAAUCUUUAGCAAAAAUAAAAUGAGAACUAAUCGAUUAGGCAGUGAAGGAUCUAUAGGUUAUUCAGGAAAGAACUUCUUCUGUAAGUCAUUUGGGAAUAAAACCAUUUUACAGUGGCUAUGAACUAAUAAGGUGAGGAGGCAUCGAGGGUAAGAUGAGCCGAGAGCAAGUGUGAGCAGAACAUACAAGAAGGUGCAUGGAGGACUGGCAGGAAAGUAGGCAGGAUGGAAAGUCAAGAAAAUGAAAUAAACCUAAACAUCAUUUGCAUUGUUUGCAUUGAAAAUGCUAAGUUCUGAUUUU